rnacentral:lncRNA from 1 species
UCUCCGACGUCGAAAAUGCAUGUUAUGCUUGAUGUAUUUAUUUCAUUCAUUUUAUUAAUUUAUUGGUUUUGAUUGUAUGAUUAUUAUGAUUAUGAUUUUGGUUUUAUGCUCUUAUUAUUUAACCUUAUAUUUUAAAUUUUUUUAGACAUUUAAGGGGCGGGAAAAUUGGUUUUGUAAGGCUGUGUUCGGCCGAGAAAAGCGGGGAACGAUUUCAGAACUUCAGAGAGUUCGCAUUUAAGUUUGUGCAUGUCACGUGAGAAAGGGAGGUUCGAGGGUCUUCGGAGAAGAGGGUAUAUAAUGAAGGGUUGUCGGUUUGGAGAUUGUUGAUUUUUUGGAGGCCAUUUUUGAGAUCUCUAUGAGAAAGUUUGGAAGUGAGAGAGAAAACAGAGAGAGUUUGAGAGAAAAACUUUAGCAGAGAAGUGAAGAUUGAGAGUUCCGGCAGAAGUUGUCAUGCUAUAGAAUUCCAGGCCAUCAGAUUUUCUUGAUUUCUCUUCAGGUUCCAAUUUUUCUAAACUCCUCCCAUGUAUUUAUGAAAAUCAAGCCUAUGAUCUUCUCAUUUUAUUGUUCUUAUUUUUUGGUUUAGAUCGGUUUGCUUUAUAGAGUUUAUGAUUGUCUUUCGUUCAUCCAUUGUUGAUGUGUAUUGGCUUUAGUAUUGUUGGAAUUUGAGAUUGAAUUUUCCCGUAGACCUUGUAUCUGGUAUCUUGAAUUUUUGUGGAAUCCUAACCCAUUAUUUCUGAAUAUAUAUUGAUUUGGAUUAGACCAUUGGGAAGUUUUGAGGGUGUUUUGUCUGUUCGUUUUAUGAUCUAAUGCCUUGGAACUUUAAGAGAUCCUUUUCUUUCUAUAGUCUCUGUUCUUCUAUGAUGAAUUUCAUUAUUUCUUAUCUAGUGAUUUUUUUAGUAAUCAGAUGAGAUCAUUCUGAGGUUUUAUUAACUUUAUUCCCAUUUUUUUGUUUGGAUCUAUAUUGUUUUAAUUAGUUCGAAACAUCAAGGUGAAUUAUUUGUAGAUCCUGUUUUUUUAGUGUAUUCUGAAUACUCAUUUGUAAUUUUGAAAGAAACAUUAUUUUUGACGAAUUUUUAUUGAUCUAUCUUGAUGUGAUAAGUUAUGCAGUUUUGAACUAUUUCUUUUACUUUAAGUCAUUAAAAGCCUAUUUAGGCAUUUUUAGAAUCCAGGAUUGAGAAGUUCUCUUGAAGGUUUCCUUUGAUAUCCCGUAACAGUUUAAUUAGAUUGUAAUAUAGUUUUGUAAUUUUCUUUGAAUUCUUGUUAAUUCCAGGAGGCCUAAGGCAGUGAGAUUACAGUUUUUUUUUAAUUCCAAUUAAUCAAAUCAUUCUAUAAUUUUAUUUUUUGAUGAUUUUGGAUUAAUUGUUAAUAUGAUUAGAAUCCUUCUUCAUUGGAAUGGAUUUAUCAUUAUCUUGGAACUUUGGUUUAUAAUCUGUCUUGAAAUUUCUAUUUCAGAUCCCAUUUUCAUGAAUUAAUUCGACUCAAUUGAAAAAUUAGUUCUGGACAAAUUCAUAUUAACUUAAUGUAAUUGGAAAUUCAAAUUUUGUAAACAUGAUUCAUUUUUUAUUUGUUCUAAUUUUUU